AACAGGCUAUAUUACAUAUUGUAAUAUUAUAUAAUGUUGUGCGCUAUCUGUCAUGCCCACUGAAGGCUCACUGAAGUGAACUAACCCUGGAACAGAAGCUGCUCCGGAGCAGGUUAAGUUCAGAGAACCUACAAUUUCCACUAGAAACCAUGUCGAAGGAAAAACUGGAAGGCCUGGUGAAGCGCAUGGAGGUGACCCUCGUGGAGAUGGAGCAGCUGAAGCUGCACUGUGGCCGGCAGAGUGAGGAGCUGAGCCAGCUGGUGGUGGAGCUCCGCAGGGAGAACCAGGAGCUCGCUGAGAAGUACAACCAGCUGGCCCAGGACAUGAAGGAGGCUAAGGAAAUCAUCGAGCAGUUGCAGGACACCAAGUACGCUUUUGACGCAAAGGAGAGGCAAGCCCAGAAGCUCAGCCGACAACUCUGAGAGACCACAAACAGACUGACAACCCAGGGUUCACUAGGUACAUGUUGGGAAUAUUUUUGAUUACAGAGACUUGUUACAAAGGAGAGAAGGAAACUACAUGGACUUUCUAUUAACAUAUUUAAUAACUACACGCUGUGUGCAUCUGCUGGUGUGUUUUAGGUUGAGGAGUGAACCAGUGUAAAAUAUGCCAAUGCUGAUGUUGAUUUAAAUGUACCUUAGUUCACCCCUAAAAUGUUUGUUUUCUGUGUAAUGAAAGAAUGGCAAUCUGCAAUUUUUUGCUAACAGAAAAUCCUAGAUUAUGGUUGAAGAAGAGGCAAAGCAAUGAUACUAGAAUCACUAAGCUGCCAGUAUUUGAAAUAUGAGGUAGUUGUAAAACUGUGGCAAUGACAAAGCAUCUUGAGAAGUGAAACCCUGUCGUUGAUCAAAGUAAAAUCACACUCUGGUUGAUUAAUGCCUGAACACAUGGUCGAUCUAUACAGAGGAUUAUCUAACCAAAUGUGAAAUAUCUGAAUCCUGCUGGCGACUGUACAUGUGAGUCAGUUGUUUAAAAGCAAUCAUGGAAACACUCUCUUUCUCUAACUCUCACUCUUUUGGACACUAAAACCAAAGGGUGGUGGUUAGGUUACAGAUCGUGCCAACAUGGGUUUUGAUGUCCUGUAUAGUUGCAGAGUUUAUAUCCAAAUGUAUCCUUUCCCAGGUCAUUGGUUUAGAAAGAUCUCUAGAUCUCUAGAUUUUGGACAUAGCAUGGAUUUUCAAAAUGCCUUUGAAAGAAAUCUUUACCUUGAUUUAUGGUUCCCUCAUCUUCUUCUCAACAUUACACAAGCUAUUCACUCACUUUAGAGGCUUCUCUAGUCCAUUUUUUGGUCCCCGUCACAAUAUGUGAAGCCAGCUAUUUAAGGGAAAAAGAGGUAUGCUGUUAGUCCAUCUAAACCUCAUAAAACAGUUCCAGUUAGUGGCCUGUUCCCAGUCUCCACAUCCUUUAAAGUCAAGGAAACUAUUCAAUUUGGGAAAUUAAGUAAAACUUUCUUUAGCACAAUGUCCACUAUUGGUGCAGUAGUUUCACAUUAAAAUGCCUUCUAAUUUGAAUGAGAAAUUUGUAAAAUAUUGGUAAAAAUUAUAAUUCCAGAUUGAAAUCAGUGAUUUUAUCCUUAUAUCUUUUAGAAGACCCAUAUGUCCCAGACAUGAAAUAUUUUGAUACUGGCAAAAGAAGUAAUUAGGCUAUAGUGCACUGUAGGGAAAACACUUGCAUAGCAUCCUGAAUGUAUGGCGUUAUCAGUCACCACUGUGUAAUGUUAUGUAUUUUUAUGCUAUGUUUUGAUUUCUACAGAGCUCUAAAGUGCUUCUCUGCUGAUUCACUCUGCUUACCUGAAGUUUAAUUCACUGAGUUCAUACAGCAUUGGGAAAGAGUUAUUUCCAAAAAUAAAUAAAUAAAUAAAAAUAAAUAAAUCAAUUAUUUAUAUUUAUUUAAUUUUUAACAAAUUCAUUUCAAUGUUUAAUGUAUAUUUAAUUUUGAUUGCCAUUUUAACAAAACUGAUUAAUGUCCUCUAAUAUAACACAUUAACCUGAAAUGUGAAAUAUGGUUUCCCAGAGGCUAUAAAGUUACUACACAACUACAUUUAACACUGGAUUAUGUCUAAAAUUAGAGUGAGGUGCUGUGAACGAAUAAAUACAAAUCCCAUCUUCAGGAGCCCAGGACUGAGACAGUGGAAAAAACAACAGAACCGCAUUCUAAAGGUAAAGGAUGGUGCAUGGAUGACUUUACACUGCUUUUCUGCCUCAGUGGUUUGUCUUAGAUGAGAUGACAGGUAUGAUGACU
ensembl:lncRNA